UGCAUCGUCUGGGAAUCUAACCCGGGCCGCGAGCCAUGGCAGGCGAGCAUUCUACCACUGAACCACCGAUGG